rnacentral:rRNA from 1 species
UACGUAGGGUGCAAGCGUUGUCCGGAAUUAUUGGGCGUAAAGAGCUCGUAGGCGGUUUGUUGCGUCGGCUGUGAAAUCCCGAGGCUCAACCUCGGGUCUGCAGUCGAUACGAGCAAACUAGAGUGUUGCAGGGGAGACUGGAAUUCCUGGUGUAGCGGUGAAAUGCGCAGAUAUCAGGAGGAACACCGGUGGCGAAGGCGGUUCUCUGGGCAUUACCUGACGGCUGAGGAGCGAAAGUGUGGGGAGCGAACAGGA